UACGGGGGGGGCAAGCGUUGUUCGGAAUUACUGGGCGUAAAGGGCUCGUAGGUGGCCAACUAAGUCAGACGUGAAAUCCCUCGGCUUAACCGGGGAACUGCGUCUGAUACUGGAUGGCUUGAGUUUGGGAGAGGGACGCGGAAUUCCAGGUGUAGCGGUGAAAUGCGUAGAUAUCUGGAGGAACACCGGUGGCGAAGGCGGCGUCCUGGACCAACACUGACACUAAGGAGCGAAAGCCAGGG
rnacentral:rRNA from 1 species